rnacentral:rRNA from 1 species
CCUACGUGAGGCAGCAGUGGGGAAUAUUGCACAAUGGUGGAAACCCUGAUGCAGCGACGCCGCGUGAGUGAAGAAGUAAUUCGUUAUGUAAAGCUCUAUCAGCAGGGAAGAAAAUGACGGUACCUGAGUAAGAAGCCCCGGCUAACUACGUGCCAGCAGCCGCGGUAAUACGUAGGGGGCAAGCGUUAUCCGGAUUUACUGGGUGUAAAGGGAGCGUAGACGGGAGUGCAAGUCUGGAGUGAAAGGCGGGGGCUCAACCCCCGGACUGCUCUGGAAACUGUACGGCUGGAGUGCAGGAGAGGUAAGUGGAAUUCCUAGUGUAGCGGUGAAAUGCGUAGAUAUUAGGAGGAACACCAGUGGCGAAGGCGGCUUACUGGACUGUAACUGACGUUGAGGCUCGAAAGCGUGGGGAGCAAACAGGAUUAGAUACCCUAGUAGUC